UAAUUAAUUCAUAGAUGAGAGAUUGUGUUGCAGCAGCACUCUAUAGACUGGGGCUCUCUAUCUCUCUUCCCUGAAUUAAUUAACUUGAUCACCUAAGUUUAAUUUGAAAUUUGUCAUCCCAACUUUCGCCAUGUCUAGUUCCUCCCUUAUCGAAAGAUUUUACAACCAUCCUUCCAACAUCAUAUCGCGUGGUCAGCCAAGUAAGGAUGAAAGGUCACGAUUGAGGUUGAGUUGGAUGAUAAAGUCACGAAAAGGAUGGGAAACUGACUUUAACGAUUCGUCCGUCGUAAGCAAAUGGUUCCAAGAUGCAAAGGACGAAUUGGGUGGUGCCGUGGCGUCAAGUUCGGGACACAAGAAGGUCGCGUUGGUGCAACUGGAGAAAAAUUGGCCAGUUGUAAUCGAUCGUCUACCCCACUUCUUGACUUUGUGGGAUGGUCAAUUGACUCCUGGGCCGUUGGAUGGUUCCUGGGUGGCGGAUGGCCUCGUGGAUAUCGCCCUGACCGAGCGACUCGUCGGGGGAGCAGGAAAGGUGGAAGAAAUCGCGAUCAAGGCGAAUAAUUGGCAACCAGCGACGGAAAAUCGUGUAAUCAACGUGAUUGACCCGUACUCAUACUGUGCCGUAGCUAAGAGGUCACAUAUUCUGAAAGGAGGAUUUGUCCCGAAAGAACCUAAGAAUCUCGACGACUAUCGUCACCUUCUACAUUUCCAUUCAGCCAAUACGCGGAACUAUCUCCACCGCUUUGACGUGAAGAGGUUGAUAAGUAUCAUACCCAAUGACAUGAUUUCGCCCCCACCAAAGAUCGAAUGGGACCCAAACUAUCAACUGCUUCCUGCCGACGUUGUUAUCGACUCUGAUGGUGCGUCGCACUUCACGUCGUAUGUCAACGGUCUCUACCCGGCGGAACAUGGGGAAUUGUACGCAACUCUGGAACAAGUUUUGGACAAAAUGGUACCAAUGUUUGAAAAGGUACUGACCGAAAUCCGAACGGCAGGGCAGGCAGAGGCAGAAAGUGGGCCUAAGACGCGACGACAAUUAGCGAACCCUUCGAUUGUCUCCAUUGCUCCAGUGAGUUUACGCGGGAGGAAAAUCCAAGUCGUGGUUAGAAUGGCGACGACAAUUUUAACUCCGGAAAAUUCUAAGCAUCCAGGCGGACAGUGGCACAUUGAAGGGAUGGCGAAUGAACAAAUCGUCGCCGUAGGUCUGCACUAUUUCUCUAAUGAAAACAUCACCACGUCAGAACUGUAUCUUGGUCUUACUCAGCGGGCAUUGAAUGGCGUCAUAAGGGUCGUGGAUGGCGGAAACAAUGAUUUCGGAAUCGAAACGGUGCCGGGUCGGAGCGUUGUGUUCAAGAAUUCUGUCUCUCACCGUGUGGCUCCUUUUGAACUGGAUGAUCCCGACAAACCUGGACAUCGUAAAAUCCUUGGUUUCUUCCUCGUCGACCCAGGAGCCCAAAUUUUGUCGUCAGCUCGCGUCCCAUGUCAGCAAUGGACGAGGUAUUUGGGACAAGUGAAGGCCGUCUUGGCUCACUUAUUGCCUCCAGAAAUAGUGGAGCUCGUGGUGUCAUUUCUACGUCGGGGUGACCAGUACUUGGACACGGAAGAGGCGAAACGUCUGCAGGGGGAGAUGCGCGAUGAGAGAAAGAAAAGAUUGGCGGGGACGUAUCGCACACGGAAACAAGAACUGGAACUUAAAAAAUUGAUAGCCCGCCGUAAAUUGGCUUAUUAUGGAAACUGAUGUUCGAAUUCGAUUGAACGUAUGUACUCCGUGUGUAAACCAAAAUUGGUUUAAGGGGCCGUCCAUAAAUUACUCUAAAACGUUAUAGUAUAUCUAUUCCCUAAUCCCAAUCCCCGACCGAAUUGAAAUUAAUAUCUAAUUGCUUCAAUUCUGAAUUAGUUUUUGUAAUCAGUAAAAAAUGUUUAAUUUUAAUUAAAUAUGUAUAAAUUGGAAAUUGUCGAAUAUUGGUUUUGAAUUAAAUAAUUCAAAUAAUUAUGUACUUGUCACUUGUACUUCGGUGUUUGAGCCAGUUUGAGAACAUUUCGCUUAAUUCUCAACCUCAGCUUAUCCUCAACCCGCUGCUUUACUGGACUGCAGCAUUUGUUUUAACUCUGUUUAUUUGAUGUUUCAGCGAUAUCAAUUACUUAUAAUUAUGUGACUUAUUUAUUUGCCGACGUGCAUUACUUUGUUUUAUUUUGCAAUUUAUUAGCUUUAGUAACCUAUUUUUUAUAAAUUUAUAUUAGAAUACUUGUCUGGUAUCCAGAGCUGAAAAUGAGUACUUGUUCUCACGCUCGUCCGACACGUUUAAUAAAAACCUAAACAAGAAAUCAAU